GUACAUUUAAUCUCUGAUCUUAAAACUAUUUUUGUGCCAGUCCUUUUCUCUUAAGAUGUUAACUCUUUCUCUUAAAUAUUUACAUUCUAGGAACCUAUGCUGAAGGAAAAGGCAUUUAUUUCAAACCCAAAGACAGAUCCUAAAGACAAUGGAGAUAUUAAUCCAUGCGCCAGCAAGUUCACAGUGAAAGGCUUGGGGAUGCUUUCUACUUGGUGUAACUUAUGCCUGGUUCAGGCAGAAAAUACUCUUCAAGGAACUGGUGAUGCUACAUCAUCCUUAAAACACCAAGAGAAAGAAUCUUUGAGAGUGGAGAAAGCAUACAAGGAGCAGAGAAGUCAUGAAAUGCUGAGAGAAGAGCAGGACGUCUGCAGUCCAUUUCAGGAUGAAAAAAGGAAGAAAGACCUUUUUUCGGAUGAUGAAGAUGAGAAAAUAAGAUCAGCAGUGACUUCAGAUGAAGCUACAUUAGUGAAAACAGAGUUAAGAAAAGAAAGCUCAUCAGAAGAACACAGGUACUAUGUCUGUCAAGGCCAGGACCUUCGGUCCUACUUUCUGAUUCUCUCAUUGAUGUGUCAAACCU
rnacentral:lncRNA from 1 species